CUCAAACUAUGAGACGGGUGACAUUUUGGUUUUUAAACUUUAAUUUAUUACAAUUUUAUACUCAAACUUUAAGAAUUAUUACAAACAAAUUUACAAAAACUCUUUAAUUAAUUUUUGGUUUAAAAAAAGAUACGCCAAGCGAGCAAAUAUAGGUAAUAUAAGACCUAGAUUUGUAAGGUUUAACAGGUCAGAUUCAAGGCGGAUUUUUAAAAGUCCGAAUUCAAACUCGAUAACCAAACACUAAAUAAUUAUUUCCCUACACCAUAUUUUAAAACAUAGCAUAUUAUAAUCUAAAAUUUUUAAAAUACAAACUCAAAUAUAACAUCAAACAUUCAAAUAUAUUAUAUAAUGUAAAUCUAUUCGGAUUAAGGUCAAGUUCGACUUCGGGUCGGAUAUAGACAAUAUUCACACCCAAAUCCAAUUCUGUGAAGUUUUUGUUCUCUUAUACAUGUAUCUCAAACCGUAUCUACUUAUCAUCAAACAAAUCUGUGACGCCAUAUUUUUUAGAAUAUCACCCAUUUCUUGAACUACUUCAGUCCUAACAUACUUAGCGUUUUGAACUUAUUCACUGCCCAAAAUAUUAUAGCUUAGUCCUAUUAUAUUUCAUAUAUAGAGUUCAGAGUGUCGCAAAAUUCGAACUAGAUUUCACUCUAAUACUCUAAUCUGGUUCGAAUUUGGAUUCAGAUAAAACUUU
rnacentral:lncRNA from 1 species